rnacentral:lncRNA from 1 species
CCCAAAGAAAAAAACAAAUGUUACCCAAUAGGCAAACAAUGCUGAGAGUUCACUUCCUCUAACUCUGUAGUUAAGUUACUCACUCAGUAUAACAUCACCCUCCUGCCAGGGGUUGAAGUCAGGAAGUAGUUUAUUUUCGCUGAAACUGAAGGGGGAAGUUAAAGAGAAAAAUAGCUGCAACUUGGUCAAUUCAGGAAAACCAGGUACGAAAAAAGAGGAGCAAGUUAAAGGGAAAGCCAGCUCGGAUUUGCUCACCAGUAAAAGGCAAAAAUCCCAGUGUUAUUCAUCUGCAUUUGGUGUGAAAGACAAAAGCUCAACUGGGAUCUGAGGCUUUCUGUGUCAGAGGGCAAGGAGUCAAUGGGGUUAUGAGGAAGUAAGACCACUUGAGACAUCAAAGAAAAGUAGAUCAAAUCACUAGACUCCUCCAAACAGGAGUGGGUGAAGACAAAAAGUGGAGAGAAUCCAGAGGGAAGAGAGGAGUAGGGAAAAUGGUGGAAAGGGAAGGUUUUUGAGAUGGAAGGCAGAGAAUGGGAACAAAAGAAGAAAAAGCUGUUUGUUUCAAAUCAAUAUUCUCCAAGAGGAUGUCUUGUUUCCCCAGGGAUAUUCUGAGGGACUCACAGGAUCAGAGCUGCGACACUUCUAACAUAUGAAUUCUCUCAAUUCUGAUGCCCUUUGACCUCUGCCACACAAUGCCAAGACAAACCCAGACCCCAGGCCCUGGAAACAGAGGAGGGGCAGUAUCAAUGUGAGGAUUAAAUGGGAUGAAAAAUAAAACAUCUGUCGGAGUGCCUGGAAUAUGAGCCUAGUAGAGCACCCAGCACACAGUAGGCUCUUAAUACAUGCUUGGGAUGAUUGAGGCAUUUUCUUCCACCAUAUUCCAUGAUCUUCUAGCCCUGGGGGUGCAGAGAGAUUACCUGGCCAAGAAGACUAGGGGUAAAGUACUUUUCUUACCUGGUAAGUGGUUUGGGAGUUAGGAAAACAUGAUGUCUGGCCAACCCCUUUCCUAAAGGAGUUUAUGUAUCCCAAUGCCCCACCCACCACCCGCCUCCACCACACACCCAGCGUUUGUUGCUUGUAAUGGGUCAAUACAUCAAUGAAUUGAUGAAUUGUAAAGGAAAAAAAAUACAUGCUUGGAAAAUGAAUUUAACUAAACAAGAUUGAAUGUAGCCCAGCUCUUUACUCACAGAGCUUGAAGGCUCAACUCGCCACAACCCCCUGGGGAGAGAGGAAAGACAUGGCAUUAGUUCCAGCGCUGUUAGUGCUAGCUAUUGCAACAUCAGAAGUAUCAAAAUUCAACUGUCUGGUGCCAAUGGCAAAACCAAUGCUUACCAAAUACAUUAUAAUAAUAAAUAUAACUUUAUAGGUCUCACAGAUUUAUUUAUGUCUGCAACUCUAAACCUGCUCCCAGCCCCCAGUCUCCAGAAACCAAGCUAGCUGGCCUUUUGGAGAUGAAAAUAGCAUCAGGCAUCAAGGGUGUGCAUUUAUGAGCAGGACAGGAGGGUGGACUAGCACCUGAACCUUAAUGCAUUCCUUAAAAGUUUUCAAUGGGAGCAUGAGUCAGGGGUGCCACCUGGAGAGAACCGUUCUCAGUAAAAGAAGGACAAUGUUUACCUUCAACUACCCAAUUUUUUGCUUCCAGGAGAUGUAACACACAGAUUGCCUGUAACCAUGGCAAUCAGCUCAGCUGUGAGCACCCUCAUUUAUUCAAAGCACAGAGGCAGUAUAAGAGAGAAAAUACUAUUACAAAUAGGAACAAUAAGAUUUAAUGUCAGAUGCCAAAAUAUGAUUGGUUCAGUAUUUGAUUCCCAGCCAUAUGAAGCACAUUACACUUUCUUGGUUUCAUCUGCUCUUUCCUGAUCCUCAAGGGUAAUAUUAAUUUCAAUUUCUUCCAGAAACAAUGAUUGACUUGUUUCUAGCACUAUCUUGGGAGUGAAAUAAAAAUUUUGGAAAAAUACAUUCUCAGCAAUGCACUGUGUGCAACAGAGUUGAGAUAACCAUGCCAAAAACUAUAAGGAAAUGUCAACAUACACUUAAAAAAAUAACUUUUGAUGGAGUUUUUUUAGGGAGGUAUUCAACUUCUCGUGAAUAAGUAAUAAAGGAUGUAUACUAUAUACUGUAUUUACUGGUUCUUCUCCCUAAUUUCAGUCUCUUUACACUCCUGGAAGAAAAAAAGUAUUAUGGAGGCUACUUUACAAUCUUCUAAAAUAGAGUAACAGAAAACCUGUUCUUGAUUUUCAAGGAAAUUACUUAUAACUCAUCAAGUUACUAAACUUCAGUUAUUGCAAAAUUUAUUAACUGUAUCCUGAGAUUUCCACUGAUAAAACUCAACUAAUGUAUUUCACAGGUACACAAAUAUCCAAGAUUGGAAAGAAGAAAGAAAAUGACGACAGAAUUUUGCAGUCUACAAGGCAAACACUGCCAUUCAUGUAGUUAUGGAGUUCCUACUAUGUGCAGACAAUGGGAAACUUUACGAAGGUGAGCAGACAGGGAUCUCACACUCCUACUAUGUGUAGAGCAAUGGGAAAUGUGUGGCAAUAAGGUAAAGGUCUUUUAUUUCAAAAUAUUUUAGCAUAGAAGGAGAAAUGUCUACUUGAACAAUGAACAAAAUACCUUAUCGAAACAAGUCUGUAGAAAUCUGUUUAAUUAGAAAAGCAUAAAAGUUAUUACUCUUAGCUGAGUGGUAACUGAUUUGAUUCAAGUUGUCUAAAAUUUUCAUUGCAGAUUUUGAAGCUUGAUAAAGCCAUAAUUUGAAGACUACUUCAUUUCCUUAAUGCUCAACCUAUUUAUCACUUGUAAUUCAGAAAGGAUUUUUAAAAGACAAGAAAUAAUUUUUUAAAUGUUAUGCAUGUGCCUUUUAAAAAAUUCCUUUUAGCCUUGUGCCUCCCACUAAAACUUCGUUUCUCAAGUUCCUUGGCCCAGGCUGUAAGUGACAACUAGCAAUCCCAUUCCUCUGCCUUAUAAAGUCUUGGAAGAAAACAAAUUCAAGAUCACUUUCCCCCCAGCCACUUAAGAGAAAGAGAUAGAUUUUAGGGUAAUGAUUAGAGGCAUCUAAGACCUACUACAGUAUUUCUAACCAUGAGAAACCAUUACUAUUUUAAAAUAAUGGUGUGUAGAGGAUUGGUCACUAUUCCUUUAGUAAUGAAAUUUACUAUUGCAAAAUUUUCUUGCUAAUGCUAGUUAUCAACUACUUAUCAAGAAAAUCAAGUGACAACAUUCAUACCAAUCCCUUUAAUUUCAGUAAGCCAAAACCAACAAGACUUAUUCACCUGUCACUUGGCAUUACUUUCUCCUUCUGUCAAAGAAGCCUCAGGGUUUUUUUCACUUAGGCAUUUCCUUAAUAAUAACUAUUCUAAUAUCCAAAUUGCAUAUACUAGUCAUUGUUGGGUAGCUAUCCCCAUAACCUGAAUACUUCCAGGCUUCGUUCCUAUGUGAAGUCUUAGUAAUGUUACCGUCCAAACUACGGCAGCCCUUUACCCUCCUCAUCACCAAACUACGGCAGCCCUUUACCCUCCUCAUCAUGACUGGAGGAGCUCAGCAUGCUCUCAAGCCGCCUUCCAUCUGUUCUAGGCAUCCCACGGUGGCUUCUCCAGAGAGCUCAGAAAUAUGUCUGCUCCUGUUCCCAUUUUCCUGCUCUUUCCUCCAGGAACCUCGACGUAGCCUGUUCCCAAUGCCCUCUGUGGAAUCAGCCAGGUCCAUGCCACAAGUAUGAAUUGUUUCCAGUGCGGCAGUCCUGGGAGUGCCUGAGCCACAAGCCAGUGUCCCCUACUCAGUUGUGCCCUGUGGGGACUGAAGCAGGACUAUAUUCUCACAGGCUCUCCUAAAAGCUGGGCUGCCAGCUUCUAGCUCUACUCCUUUCUCAAAGUGGCCCAGGCCAUCUCUCAGACCAAGGGUAAAUGCUAUGCCAGUUCCACCUGUUGUCUUUGUGUGCAUAAAUCUCAUUCUUUGUGCUUUAUCUCAAAAAAAAAAUCAACUCAUAGGAUUAUAAUCUCCUGAAGAGAUUCCACAGCCCACCAGUCCUACAAAGUCAGACAUAGAGGGCCAGUUUAGGCAUAUAUAUAUAUACACACACACACACACACACACACACAUUUAUAUAUAAACAUAUAUAUGUAAACUCUACAUGUGUGUGCAUAUAUAUAUACAUACACAUAUAGAGAGAGUUUAUGUUUAUAUAUACAUAUAAAUUAUAUAUAGAAUUUCUAUAGAAAUACAAACUAUAUAUAGAAUUUAUAUAGACAUAUAUAAAUGAUAUGUCUAUAUAAACAUAUAUAUGAACUCUGUCUCUCUCUAUAUAUAUAUAUUUUAUAUAUAUAUUAUAUAUAUAUAUUUUAUAUAUAUGUAUUUUAUAUAUAUAUAUAUAAAACUCAUGUUAUAUAUGACAAAUCCCAUAUAUAAUAAAUCAGUGGUGGGGUAUGGUAAUUCAAAAAAAUGAAUAUGGUUUCAGAUGGAAAUUAAUUUAUAUGGCCAAGACUGUUAAUUAGGCUUUUGUUGCCUUUAACCUAAGAGUAAGGCCAGCAUCUGUGGUUAUGAGCAAAUACUUAAGGCUAUGGUAGCUGCAAACACUUGCAGCCCUGGGUCGAAGGACAAAGGCUAGAAUAAAUUCCCUACCAAACGCUCAGAAGUGAUAUUAUGCAAAGAAGAUGUAUAUUUUAAUAAAUAUUUGUGGAAUGCCUAUUACUUGCCAGGAACUAAGGACACAAAAGGAAUUAAAGCACCAGGUCAGUCCCAAAACAGCAUGAAAUUUGCACCCAGGCAGAUCUGGGUUCAAGCCCUAGUUCUGUCCCUUGCUAUUGCUUCUUCUAUGACCUUAAGAAUCUUCAAGAUGGAGUUCUCAAGAGGCACAAGUAUGACAGUGUACAUGGAAUUACUUGCCAUUAGCACAGAUGUUUGUCGUGUAUUCAUUUAUGAGUAAAUAAUUAUUGAGUGACAACUAUAUCCCAGGCAUUGUUCCAAGAAUUAGAGUUACAGCAGUAGACAAGAAAGAAUGUCUCAUAAUAAUGAAAUGAAGCUAACUUUAUUACAUUUAUAUCACAGUGAAAUCAACCAGGUCAAAGGAAAUGAUUCUUACCCUGUGUCACUCCAAAAGAUCUUAUCCAAAAUAAAAUGAUGUAUUUUUUAAUUUCCAAAAAUAGAUUAAAUUAAGUUGAGGUCUCUACCUGUACAGUGGCAGGAGAGAUGAAUCAGCACCUUAACAAUUUAUUUUGCUCACCUCCUCCUUCAUUCUGUUCUCUACUCUUUCCCUCAAUUGGUAGUUUUUGUCCCUGGAUGGCCUCUCCUCACACUUUUGUGUGGACAGACAUGAAUGUUCAGUUUUGUGUGUAGUGUGUGUGUGUGUGUGAGAGAGAGAGAGAGAGAGAAAGAUAACUGAGAGUGUGCACGUGUGUCUGCAAGAACAAUGGUAGAAAUCCAUGAUCCUUUGAAGAAAUUUAACCUGGGUUAAUUACUCAAAAUCCUUAUAUUCAGAACCUUCCAUAUUGAAGCUUCCCUGAUCUUUCUCUGCUCCAAUAGCUCAUAGCAAUGCCUGAAUGCUUUGUUUCUUAAAGAGGAGUUUAUAUUUAUAGAGAAGUUGUAAAGAGUCUCCAUAUACCUGCACCUAAUUCCCCUGUUAUCAGGAAUUUGCACUAGUAUGGCACAUUUGUUAUCAUUAAUGAACCAAAACGGAUAUUAUUAUUGGCUAAAGUUCAUGCUUCAUCUAGGUUUCCCAACUUCCCUGAGGUCCUUUUCUUGUGCCAGAAUCCCAUCCAGGAGACCACAUUACAUUUAGUCCUCAUGACUCUUAGACUCUUCUUCUUGGCUGUGAUAGUUUCUCAAACUUUUCUUGAUUUUGAUGACCCUGACAGUUUGAGAAGUAUUGGUCAGAAAUUUUUGUAGAAUGUCUACUGGUUGGAAUUUGUCUGGGGUUUUUCUCAUGAUGAAACUGAGGUCAUGGGUUUUUGGGAGGAAGACCACAGAGGCAAAGUGCCAUUCUCUUCCCAUCAUACCAAAGGUACAGGCUAUCAACAUGACUAACUUAUCAUUAUUGAUUUUUACCAUGAACACCAGGCUGAGAUAGUCUGAACAUCCUUUUUAACAGAGAUUUUUACCAAUUAUUAUAUUUGUAUUCCCAAACUGCUUCAAAGAUAUUUAUCAAGAAAUCUCAAAAUAGCCUCUUAUUUUUACCUAAAAUUCAUUCAUCCCUUAAUUUUCACUGAGAAAAUAUAUUGAGUCUACUAUCAAAUGCCAGGCACUGAGGAUACAGGCAUAAAUAAAACAUGUUCCUACUUUCAAGAGCUCAUGGCCCAGUCUAAUGCAAGAGAGACUUGUAAAAAUGUAAAGAAGGAUCCAAUGAGUUAAGGGACACUGUUUAAGGAAUAAAAGGAACCCUGAGAGGUAUAGUUAUCAUUUCCGUGAGGAGCUAGGAGGAGGGAAAAUCUCCUUCCUAGAGAAAGGGACUCCUAAGCUGAUCUUGAAAGGUACAUAGGAUUCUGCCAAGCAGAAGAGAAAUCAUGUGCAAAGCAGGUGUGUGUUCAUGAAAGCUGGUUUUAGAGAAGUGGCGGGGAAGGAGGAUGAAGUGGUAGGUAGAGAUCGUGGAGAGCCCAGUUUGCAUUUUGAAUUGUGUGGCUCUCAGGCUGCUAGAGUCAAAGUAUUAGAAGGUAAAGGCAGGCUUCUAGCAGGUUCCACAUCUGAAGCAGGAGUAAUAGUUGGUCAAGUAGUCUUCCCUGAAGGCUUGGAGACAGGGCACUAGAGUAGCACACCUCUAUACACAGAUAGGAUCUGUGCCUCAGCUCUGGCACAGAUUUCUCUCUCUCUCUCUCUCUAACACACACACACACACGCACACGCACACACACAAACAUACACACACACAGAGGGAGAGACAUAUUUGCCACAUAUCCAUUCUCUAAGAGCUGCCAACCCAGACUGACAAAUCUUUAGAAUUUACUACUUUGUCUCUUUUUUCUACACCUUGGCAGUGGAUGGAGCAGCAUCAGCCAUGGCUCAGGAAUGCAGCCGCCUACUUUCCUGUUAUCAGCAGGCAUUCCUGUGGUUACACUAUUCCUGCUUAGCUUAUCAAUGGCCCUUGGGAACACAGAGUCAGCACCCAAAGAGGGCCAGAACAGCCUGCUUGUUGGACGCCCAUCCACACCAUGAGGCUUUCCUGGAUGUAGAGGGAAGUUACUGUUCCUCGGGAAAACCCCUCUUCCCAGCUGGUAUGAAUGCUUUAGCUUAAGAAUCUGCCUCAUGUGUUUCAUACUCAGAGACACGACCCCCUAAUCUUUAUGUGUGAAAACUUCCCGUUGAUACCAAAAGGAGCUUUUCCUAGGAUAUCACUGACCCAGGGUAAGACACAGUGAGUGAAGUCUGUGCAUUUUGUUAGAAGAUUAAAUAUCCAUUAUAUCCCCCCAUAUUCUUCCUCACCCCAACAUAUCUCUUUGUCUCCAAGUUUUAGAACUUCUAGAAUAUAAAAUAUAAUGUAUGAUAUAUAGUCAUAUAACAUCUAGUAUUCCCUCAAUAGCAUUCCAUCAUCAGAAUAAAGUACAAAAUCUGCCAUCCAUCAUGAGAGACCUUUUAGGAUCAGGAUGCUGCCCUGCUCUCUAGCCUCAUCUGUCCUCACUACCUGCUUGGCCAUUGAUGCUCCAUCUUCCUGAACUACACCCCAGAAACUCAGCAAUCAGGCCAUGUUCUCUCUUAUAGCAUUGCUUUUGACAUGCUGGUCUCUCUGCUUGGGUUCCUUUCUUUUUGGGAUUUUUCCAUCCAUCUUUGUCUGGCUAACUCCUGAUCUGCCUGCACCAUCUUUCGGAACUUUGAGAUGGGUGCCCCUCAUUUGUGCUAUCUUUGCUUAUUCUUGAAGCACCUUAGGCUUCCUCUCUCAUGACGUAUCUAAGUGGCCUGCAGUGGUCUACCUCUUCAACCUCACUCCCUGGGACCAUAUCUUAUUGCAGAGGGAUGUGACUGAGUGCAGCAGGCCAGUCAUCCUUCUGCUCUACCAUGCACAGGGCAUGGCCGUUUCUUCCUCGUGCUUGCUACCCCAUGAUUGCAAGAUGGUUGCUGUACUUCAAAGAAUCACAUCCUCACUUCAGGGUCUCAAGCAGGAAGGAAGGGGGCUAUGUUUUCUUUUUAAUCAAGGAGGAAAAAAGAAGCCCCAGGAAGAAUUCCUCUAUGCCAUAUUGGCCAGAACUGAGUCAUAUGGCCAUGUCUUGCUGAAAAGAAGGCUAAAUAGCAAGUAUCUGGCAAAGCAGAAAGAAUUGUCACAAUGGGUUGGAUCAUGAUUCAUGAGCUGGUACAUAGCCCACUGAGGCAAACUCGGGAUUUUGUUAGGCAGAAAGAGGUUAUAGCUUUUGACCUGUCAAGUAAUAGUAUCUACCACAUUGAAUUCCACUUUAGAAAACAUAGAUACAAAACACACUCCUGAAGAUUGCACCAACAGGAGGCAAAAUUUAAGGAGCAAGAGAAACUAUACAUGUAAGUGAUAAAAUAGUAAUAUUUAUCUGUUGGGACUCAAAUAGGUGUUUUGUCCCAGAAUUAUCUCAAUUCAUCAAGACUUCUUUGAAACUCCUUGCCCAUGCUUAGCCAUUUAUUCUAGGUAGAACAGUAAACGAAUCUCCAUUCUUAGAAAAGGUGGGCCUAGCUUCAUAGAACCGCACACAGCCCUAUUAUGUAAUAUAGCUUGGAAACUGUAUGAGCUAGUAAGUUUGAUUUGAUAUGUUUGAAAGUUUGGCAAAGCCUUAGUGAUAGGUUUGGGCAAAAAAAAGAUGAAACUCCAUAAUUAUUGUUUCCAUUAGCUAAAUCCAUCAGCUGCAGAUUUGGAGAAUACUUGUUUCAGGUAUUUGGUGAGCGACUCUCUUCUCUGAAGGUAUUCAAUCCCAAAGUGCACAUCAAAUCAUUUCCACUAAAACGCAUAAAGGUCUUGGUCAAAUGUGACUCAUGUGUAUUUAUCUUAUCCUUUUGCUGAAAUGAUUUCACCCAAACUUAAAAUAGAUAGAGGUUAGUUGACUCAGAAAAUUAGUGCACAGGAUGAAUAAAGAUAGUAUCAUGAGCUGGACAUCCAUCAGGUCAAUGCAUACUGCUCACUGAUAGCUUCCCCACCAACCUCUGUACUAUACCAUCACUGUUUUGCUAUCCUUCAUCCAUCUGCUAUGGAUGUAUCAUUUUUUGGUCCUCAGGCUAACAAUUUUCAUAGGAUUUAGGAUAGAAGUCAAAAUCGGAGUGUGCCAGAAAGUGAGGAUUAAAGGACGCAGGUCUCCAGGAUUUGUUCUCUCAUGGAAAGAACCCAAAAACCUGUCUCUGAAUUUGCUUCUUCCCUGCAAAGUAAAACAGGAUCAGGCCCUGGUCCCAGUUAGGAAUAUGUGCCCCCUCUAUCCCCUAUCCCCUUAGAAGCCAAGUGGGAACCAGAAAGAGGCAGUGGGAAAGGAGGAACCUGGGACAGCUUCCAGUCUAAGUAGGUGUUUGGGGAUUCUCCACGAGGUCCAGGUUAGAUCCCCAAGGAAAUGCACAGAACUACUGGUCAAAGACACAGAUAAUAGUAAAGUGCUUGUGUUUGCCACACAUUCUCUUCUGUGCAUAUGUAUUCCUUGGAGGUUUUUCAGGGAAGUGUGGUAGGCCAAGGAUGGGAUCUGAGAGUUUCUAGAUCACCUAACUAAUUACCAUUUCCUACUUUUUCAACCAUUUAUUUCCAGCUCGUUCCUCCUACAAAGCCAGUAAUCUGGCGCUGUAUACCCUUGAUUAUAGCAGGGAAAGACUACAAAGCAUUCUGAUGUAAAGACACAUGCACAGAUAAUGUAGUAAAAAGAAUAUAGAUUAGCAACACAUAGGUCUGGGUUUAAAUCUCAGUACAGCUGCUUUUUCAUUCUGUGACCUUGGGUAAUUUAUAUAUUAGCCUCUCUGAGCCUCAGUUCCCUUACUGAGUCAGUAACACUUACCUCAGGGAGUUAGUAUGAGGAUUAAAUGUAUAAAUGAAAUAAUUAACCACUUAUAAAAUGUGCCAGACAUCUAAUGUGUGUUCAACAAGUCUUAAUCUCUUAAGUGAACAUUCUUACUAGAAAACUAACUCACAACUCUAUUGAUGGUAAGCAAUAGAAAGGUAUUCCUAUAAAAAGACACUCAUCUUAUUUAUACAUAAACAAUAGGAAAAGAUGGCGACAAUGACCUUGCAUUUCUAGGCUAGUUUUGUCACCAUAAUAUAAAUUAAUUGAAACAGACAAACUACAUUAACCAAGUAUUUAUUGUUUUUAUUUCAGGGUUUUAAAAAGCAGCAGGUUUAAGAGCUGACCAUAUCUGAAAGACUCUAGAAUAGCAGAGGAUUGAUUAAAGGUCUGUGGCCACAGAUUGGAUGUGUUGAUUUUAUUUCCCCAAAGGUAUCCACAUAGCAACUUGGCAGUACACACAUAUCCCAAAUAUAUGUACACAGUGUUUACAGAAAAUACUAAUUGUACCCUUACCUAAAAUGUUAGGUCCCAUUUUCAUUUUAAAGACUCAUUAUGCUUUUCAUGAACUAACACUUUUGUUCAUUUCAAUUCUGUCAUGAAUUCGAAAGAAGGACACAGCAAAUAGGUACUUAACUAAAGUAAGUGCUUUCUCCCAUGGUUUUAUCAAUCCAAGUCUAUGGACAUAAUACAGAAUCAAGAAUCCAAGGAAACUGCUCUGAAUUUCACUGUAAGCAUAGCUCAUUUUUUUGACCUGUUGAUUGCAGUUAAUUUAACGUCACGACCUGCACCUCAGAAUCUCUCAUGUCCCCUGCAGCUUUGUCAAGAUGCUUUGUAUAUAGCUGGUACCCAGAGAAGGUUUGCCACAUUGCACGGAGUUGAUCACCCAUUUUAUUCACUGGAUUUGGCUUUGAGCAACUUACACUUUUUUCUCUCCAAAAAUUAAGUCCACCCACGAAGGAAAAAGGCAGAAGGAUGCUGUGGCAAAAAUGCUAUCCUGGAAAACAGAUCUUGGCCCUGGUCCCAGCUCUCUGUGACUUUGGACACAUCAGUUGAUCUUUUUAGAUCAAAUUUCCCCAUAAAAGGGGGUACUAGACAAGAUGCAUGUGCCAGACUGCCAAGGCCAAGGCACACCCUAAGCCACUCAUAGUAAUAUCCCUGGAACUGUAGACCCUUGCAGAGAGAUUAUAGAAGUGAUUUUGAAUAAUUAUUGAGUUAAGUGCUAGCAUUCCAGCAUGACCGCUUCAAAAGAGGUAAUGCAUAUUUUUUUUUGUAUUUUUUUGGCUUUUUUUAAAGUUACAUUACUUUAGUGUUAUAUGUCAUAUAGUCAUUAGGAAUUCCAAGAGAGCAAAUGUCAACAAAGGUCUGAAGUUGUUUGGCAUUUUAUCAAUCAUUAUUUAGAGUUUUCUUUUUUUCUUUUUUUUUUCUUAAUGUGGUUAGGGACACAGAGGUUCAUGUGAUGUAAUAAGAAAGAAAUAAAGGAAGCUUUAUCUGCCGCUCUUUCAACCUCAUCCACUCAACACUUACCCCGUGACAGACCCCAAUACUCUUAAUGAAUUCCCAAGGUUACGAAAGAACUUGGAAGAUCUUACAUUCCUACAUGGUGAUUACAGAGGCUCACAUUUUGCCAAGUCAUAUGCAGGUGGCUGAAAAAUGUGAUCUAACGUCCUUGAACACAUUUAUUACAAUCCAUCAUCUACAUGGCAACAGUCAGGGCCAUGCUCAUAAACCAGAACUGGUGCUAGAUCUGGUAAGUCAUUAAGCAAACAUAUUCCUGUGUUGUGCGUGGCGUGCAUGCCCACUGCCUGCCUAUAAAACGGAAAUAAGAUUUCUGAUUUGCAAAUUACCUCCUAAGACAUGUAAAGCUAGCUCCUUUAAUCCACAUUACUCAUUUUUGUAUUUUGACUGUUUCAAAUGCUAAAACAGACCUGAAUACAGUUUCCACAGUUCUCUUUAUAAUUAUUGUAUUUUUCAUUUACAUGAUCAUGAAACCUGUUAGCAAGUGAGAAACAGAAUCAUUUUCACUGAGACAAAAAAUAUUGAGAAUUAGGGGGAGAAACUCUGAAGCAAUAUAAACAACAGAGUCUAAUCUUAUCAAAGAGAGAAGGCAGUUGGUGAAUCUGAAAGAUCACUUACUUACCACUCAAUCAUAGAACUUAUACCCCCAAAUAGGAUUUAAGAAAGAAAAAAGCAAUUUAGUAGGAACUGGAAGUUAUAGGGCAUAGGUCUGCUUUAGUUGGUGACAAAAAUUAUGCCUCAGAGGUUAAGAGCAUGGAUUAGGGUGCUGGGUUGCCUGGUUUAAAUCCUAGCUCUGGCACUUACUACUGCAUGGUCCUUGACCAGUUAUUUAACUACUCUGUGCCUCGGCUUCCCAGUGUGGAAAGCAGAAAAACAGUAUCUCCCUUACAGAGAGGCUUUAAAGUUUAAAUGCAUUAACAAAGGGAAAAUCCUUUCAAUGUUGACACAUCAUGAGUGUGACAUAAGUAUUACCUAUUAUUUUUAUUAUGUGACCAAAUGUGGAAGAAAAAUUCUAUAAGAAAGUAGUAACAUUGUUUAGUCUUUCAAAAAUCAUAUAUUCUCCUCCAAUCCUGGCUCUCUGCAAUUCAAGAAAUCCUAACAAAUAGAAAACCUUUGUACACAGGAGAAAACGGAGAUGAGCAAAGGCAAUAUUUGGCUUAUUUGUUAUAACCCUAAUAAAACAAGACUGCUUGAAGAAAUAGACCAAAUUGUGGAAUGUUUAACAUUGAUCCAGGACUGGCUCUUCUGAGGAAAAGAUAUAAUAUUUAUCAUGUGGCCAAUUUUGUCUGUGAAGAUAAGGAGGAACUAAUCGGUCUCAACUUCAUGAUGUUGCUUAAAGGAGCAUAUAAAUGUACGAUCAUAAGUAUCCUUUAAAUGAAGGGGUUGGUUUUAUGACUGCAGAAGUGAGAAAGAGUAAGGUCAUUUAGCCUGAGCAACACAGCAAAACCUUGUCUCUACUAAAAAUUAAACAAAACAACCAAAAAAUCACUCAGGUGUGGUGGCGCAUGCCUGUGGUCCCAACUACUCAGGAGGCUGAGGUGGGAGGAUUGCUUGAGCCUGAGAGGUGGAGGUUGCAGUGAGCCUUGAUUGCGCCACAGCACUCUAGCCUGGGUGACAGAGCAAGACUGUCAAAAAAGGAAAGAAAAGAAAGAAAAGAAAAAGAAAGAAACUAAAACAGAAAGAAAAGAAAGAAAGAAUGGGAGAGAGAGAGGAAGGAAGGAAGGAAGGAGAAAGAAGA